CGUAGGUGGCAAGCGUUGUCCGGAUUUACUGGGCGUAAAGAGCGCGCAGGCGGUCGGAUCAGUCGAAUGUGAAAGCCCCCGGCUCAACUGGGGAGGGUCAUUCGAUACUGUUCGACUCGAAGGCAGGAGAGGGAAGCGGAAUUCCCGGUGUAGUGGUGAAAUGCGUAGAUAUCGGGAGGAACACCAGUGGCGAAGGCGGCUUUCUGGCCUGUUCUUGACGCUGAGGCGCGAAAGCUAGGGGAGCGAACGGGAUUAGAUACCCCGGUAGUCCUAGCCGUAAACGAUGGACACUAGGUGUUGGUGGUAUCAACCCCACCAGUGCCGUAGCUAACGCAUUAAGUGUCCCGCCUGGGGAGUACGGCCGCAAGGCUA
rnacentral:rRNA from 1 species